rnacentral:rRNA from 1 species
CGUGUAGGCGGCCAGGUAGGUCCGUUGUGAAAACUCGAGGCUCAACCUCGAGACGUCGAUGGAAACCAUCUGGCUAGAGUCCGGAAGAGGAGAGUGGAAUUCCUGGUGUAGCGGUGAAAUGCGCAGAUAUCAGGAAGAACACCUAUGGCGAAGGCAGCUCUCUGGGACGGUACUGACGCUGAGAGCGAAAGCGUGGGAGCGAACA